rnacentral:rRNA from 1 species
GAUGAACGCUGGCGGCGUGCCUAAUACAUGCAAGUCGAGCGAACAGAUGAGGAGCUUGCUCCUCUGACGUUAGUGGCGGACGGGUGAGUAACACGUGGAUAACCUACCUAUAAGACUGGGAUAACUUCGGGAAACCGGAGCUAAUACCGGAUAAUAUAUUGAACCGCAUGGUUCAAUAGUGAAAGACGGUUUUGCUGUCACUUAUAGAUGGAUCCGCGCCGCAUUAGCUAGUUGGUAAGGUAACGGCUUACCAAGGCAACGAUGCGUAGCCGACCUGAGAGGGUGAUCGGCCACACUGGAACUGAGACACGGUCCAGACUCCUACGGGAGGCAGCAGUAGGGAAUCUUCCGCAAUGGGCGAAAGCCUGACGGAGCAACGCCGCGUGAGUGAUGAAGGUCUUCGGAUCGUAAAACUCUGUUAUUAGGGAAGAACAAAUGUGUAAGUAACUAUGCACGUCUUGACGGUACCUAAUCAGAAAGCCACGGUUAACUACG